rnacentral:rRNA from 1 species
UGGGGAAUCUUGGACAAUGGGCGCAAGCCUGAUCCAGCCAUGCCGCGUGGAUGAUGAAGGCCUUAGGGUUGUAAAAUCCUUUCGUGGGGGACGAUAAUGACGGUACCCCAAGAAGAAGCUCCGGCUAACUUCGUGCCAGCAGCCGCGGUAAUACGAAGGGGGCUAGCGUUGUUCGGAUUUACUGGGCGUAAAGCGCGUGUAGGCGGGUCGUUAAGUUGGGGGUGAAAUCCCGAGGCUCAACCUCGGAACUGCCUUCAAAACUGGCGACCUGGACCUAAGUAGAGGCAAGUGGAAUUGCGAAUGUAGAGGUGAAAUUCGUAGAUAUUCGCAGGAACACCAGUGGCGAAGGCGACUUGCUGGACUUAUGGUGACGCUGAGACGCGAAAGCGUGGGGAGCAAACAGGAUUAGAUACCCCAGUAGUCCCUGAGCGGGCUGGCAAGGCGCAU